GAGAGAGUCUCAUGUAGUUUGUGGUGACUUCUGAAUGAAAAAAAAGAAAGAAAGAAAGAAGGAGGAUAUGACCCACUCCUAAGGGGUUGAGGUUUUUAUUCCAGAUACAAGGGCGAGCACAGGCAGAAGCAGAGACGUCUGGGAGAAUCCAGAGUGGACAGGACCAUGACUGACCAACUAGAGCAGCUCUGCCCAAAGCUGGGCUGUGAACUGAAUUGGGCAGAACUGGAAUUUGUGAUUUGAGCACUUCCACACAAACCUCCUUCACACCACCCUGCUCUGCAGUGAAAGUCUAAGAAGCUGAGAGGAACUAAGUCCUGAGAGGGAACCAGUCCCUGAAGCACGUGGUGAGCAUAAGAAAAACAACAAAGCUUCAUCCAGCAUCCACAGCACCAGCACACGUGACUGCUGCAGCGGCCACUGAGAGCGAGAGGAAAAUAUCAGGUGUGGGCUUUCAGCAUUUAGAUCCUGGGGAGGUGCUCUGGCUGCUCUCUCACUGCAGGCUCUUUAUGCCACCAGUCAACAAACAGCAGCCUCUGUUGGAAAGGCUCCUUCGAUGUUCUCAAGGACACGGCGCUAUUUUAAAAUUUCUUCA
ensembl:antisense Gm15341 predicted gene 15341